rnacentral:rRNA from 1 species
AAUAUUGGACAAUGGGGGCAACCCUGAUCCAGCCAUGCCGCGUGAGUGAAGAAGGCCCUCGGGUUGUAAAGCUCUUUUGUCCGGAAAGAAAAGCAUUCGGUGAAUACCCGGAUGUUCUGACGGUACCGGAAGAAUAAGCACCGGCUAACUUCGUGCCAGCAGCCGCGGUAAUACGACGGGUGCAAGCGUUACUCGGAAUUACUGGGCGUAAAGCGUGCGUAGGUGGUUGUUUAAGUCUGAUGUGAAAGCCCUGGGCUCAACCUGGGAAUGGCAUUGGAAACUGGGCAGCUAGGGUGCAGUAGAGGGUAGUGGAAUUCCCGGUGUAGCAGUGAAAUGCGUAGAGAUCGGGAGGAACAUCUGUGGCGAAGGCGACUUCCUGGACCAGCACUGACGCUGAGGCACGAAAGCGUGGGGAGCAAACA